CUAGAUGACGAUUUGGUAGA
rnacentral:piRNA from 1 species